GAUCAUGGCUCAGGAUGAACGCUGGCGGCGUGCUUAACACAUGCAAGUCGAACGGAGUUUACUUAACAGAUUUCUUCGGAAUGAUGUUUUUAAACUUAGUGGCGGACGGGUGAGUAACGCGUGGGUAACCUGCCUUACACGAGGGGGAUAGCAGUUGGAAACGACUGGUAAUACCGCAUACCUUACAUUAUUCGCAUGUUUGAUGUAAGAAAGAUUUUAUCGGUGUAAGAUGGACCCGCGUCUGAUUAGCUAGG
rnacentral:rRNA from 1 species